CAGCAGCCGCGGUAAUACGUAGGUGGCAAGCGUUGUCCGGAAUUAUUGGGCGUAAAGGGCUCGCAGGCGGUUUCUUAAGUCUGAUGUGAAAGCCCCCGGCUCGACCGGGGAGGGUCAUUGGAAACUGGGAAACUUGAGUGCAGAAGAGGAGAGUGGAAUUCCACGUGUAGCGGUGAAAUGCGUAGAGAUGUGGAGGAACACCAGUGGCGAAGGCGACUCUCUGGUCUGUAACUGACGCUGAGGAGCGAAAGCAUGGGGAGCGAACAGGAUUAGAUACCCCAGUAGUCCCUGUCUCUUAUAC
rnacentral:rRNA from 1 species